AAACCUCGUUUGUAUAUAUGAAUUUGAACGUAUAAAUUAUGACUCACGCCAAGAACUGACGUAUAACGGCAAACUUCUGAUUGGUCGAUAAAAUACGUACAAAACUUUGAAAAAAAACAACAGCGUUAAAGAUGCUCAUCAUAAGAAACCACGGAGCAACUGAAAACACGAGGUAAAAUGGAACAUUUGACAAUGAUAUUAACCGUAUUAUAACACAUUCUAUCUUAUGGAAUGAUGCUUACAUUUUAUUCUUGGUUUGACUGGUUAAAGGUGAACUUAAAUAAAACCAACGGCGAUUACGGCGAAAUGGACGACGUGAAGAAAAUAACACAAACAAUAAUUAUUGUACUACUAAGUAUUAACCCGUCAGGCAGUCACUGUUAAACUGCAUAAAAAGAAAUGACGCUGAUUUUCCGUCACCGUUACCGCGUGAAUACGCGGGCUGGUCUAUAAUAACCUUGAGACGACUACACCACAGUAAUAAUUGACCUUAUUGUUAUAAAAAUAAGAUUGUUAAUAAUAAUAUUAAAACCAUAUUAAAGGCGGAA